AAAAAAAAAAAAAUUAAAGGAAAAAGCCUGCGGGCCGGGCCACGGGCCUCACAAUUCUUUUGGCUAGUAAUGUCACGUUUUGCUGGUCAUGGGACAUGAUUAUGAUAUGUGGCAUAAGAGUCGCAAAGGACUUUCCGUGGCUAGUAGGCUUGCUAGAUGUUGAUCAUUGUAUAAAUGUUGAAAUAUAGGAGGACGCGUGAAUUCCAUAUUCUGAUGUGCAGUCAUACAAAUAGUUAUCUUGAAGUUCUCCUUGAUUGACUCCCAAGUCCUUGAUGAUUUGUUUGUAGUUUAGAGGAGAGGACAGUCACUAAACUUCCUUUGUGGAGUUGUGCUUCAUUUGCGAAUGGAGUAACUGUUAGGUUUGUAUGUAGCGCGAUCAUACAAUCAAAUUACAUAAAAGGUGCGGAAGCGCGAUAAAACGGAAUUUAAAGUUUUUCAUACAAACCAUCAUCAUGAUCAUGCUUUGUGCAUAAUUAUCAAUCAAUAGAAAAGAGAUAGAGAUCAGAUUCAUACCCUUGUAGAAAUUAACUUCCUCAAGUACAAGUUCACCUCCAAUUCAUUUUUACGUUCAACGUGAAUCAACCGGGUUUGAUUCCUUCCUUUGAUCAAUGUUAGCCACCCAAGUGUUUGACCUCUAGAGGUAAUCCCCCAAGGAAGAAUAAGUAUUCAAGAAGAUGGGUGUUUGACAAAACUCUAAUUCUAUCUGUAUGGAAUAUUAUGUACACUCCCAACUCUUGGAAUUGUCAUCCACCCUAAAUCAAAAUAAGACUCCUCUUAUCUAUAAAUGUAGACAACCCUCC
rnacentral:lncRNA from 1 species